rnacentral:sRNA from 1 species
GAUUAGCCCCGAUAGCAGCGUAUAUCCUUUUUUACUAACCUAUUCAGGGUUAGUAAAAAAGAUAUAGCGGAUAGCGGGAGGACAA